GUUUGAGCUCAUCCUCCUACAUGAACCGGAUGCGUGCCUGUUCUGCCAGCAGCUUCUCUGGAAACGGGGACGGAUGUCUCAGACACAGAGCAGCUGCUGCUCUCAGCCCCGAGGAGAAGAGGGAAAUUGCGUUAAAGCAUCUGUACCAGGAAAUGUGCAGAUCUAACACGUACAAUCCUAAGGAUUUUGAGAAAUGCGCCCAUGUAAUCCACACACCAUCAAGAUAGACAGCGCUCCCUCUCUCUAAAAAGUCCCCUGUGCCUUGCAGGCCAGUCCUCACACACAGAGGCAAUCGCUGCCUGAGUUUUAGCGCCAGUGAGGAGUUUUGCCUGACCUCGAGCAUCCUGUGAAUGGCUAUGCCUGACUUCUUUCACUCAGCGCAACAUGUGUGAACCUUACCCAUGUU